rnacentral:rRNA from 1 species
UACAGAGGGGGCAAGCGUUGUUCGGAAUUACUGGGCGUAAAGGGCGCGUAGGCGGCCUUCUAAGUCAUGCGUGAAAUCCCCGGGCUCAACCCGGGAACUGCGUCUGAUACUGGAAGGCUCGAAUCCGGGAGAGGGAUGUGGAAUUCCAGGUGUAGCGGUGAAAUGCGUAGAUAUCUGGAGGAACACCGGUGGCGAAGGCGGUCUUCUGGACGGUGACUGACGCUGAGGCGCGAAAGCGUGGGGAGCAAACGGG